GCAUGCAACAUUUACAGGGCUGACUACGGUCCUUUACAGUUACGGGGAAUAGAGCAUCGUUACAGGUAUUAAGCCUACAGAAGUUUUGUGAGCUGGUGCUGGGGCUUCCUUGGUAGAAAGAUACGGGUAGUGAUCCCCUCAUGUGUCGUGACGGGAGUUUCCUUACAUCCA